GGCGGAUGCUCCGCUUGAAAAAGCUUUUGCAGCCCUCGCAGAGGAGCUGUCAUUAUUGACGUUUUACAGAAGCCACAGGCUUUGCUCAAGUUCAUUCGGUGCAGCAGAGCCCACAGGUCUCCUUGGCUUCCUGAUACCUUCGUGGGCAAGGCGCCCCUGUGUUCAGAAGGAAGAGGAAAGUGACAAAUUCCAAAAAGAGCCAGAGGGAAGGGUAUUCUUGGGAUCCCAUAGCUGGCACAGGGCUCCAUGUGGAUGGACACUCUGAGCUUGGGGACUGCAAGCUCCCAGGUGACGCAUUACACAUUAGGAGUGGCAUUUCCUGUGCCCACCUGGUCAUUCUGUGCAAGCUGGGGCACCUACUCAAGGCACGUGUGUGAGACUGUGUGUGUGUGACUGUGUGUGAAUGUGCCUGUGUGUGUGUGAAUCUGUGAGUGUAUUUCAGUUGUAUAUGUAAGUGCAUUGUGUGAAUUUGAGUGUUUCAAUGUGUGUGAAUGUGUAUGUGUGUGAAUGUGUGUUUGUGUGUAUCAGUGUGUGUGAAUUUGUGUUUGUGUGUGAAUGUGAGUUUGUGAAUGUGUGGGUGAGAGUGCCUGUGUGUUUGUGUGUGUAUAUGUGAGUGUAUGAACGUGUGUUUGUGUGUGUAUGUGAGUGUGUGAAUGUGUUUGUGUAUGUGAGUGUGUGUAUGUGAAUGUGUGUGGGUGUGUGAAUGCGUGUGUGUAUGUGUGUGUUUGUGUGUAUGUGAGUGUGUUUGUGAAUGUGUGUGGGUGUGUGAAUGUCUGAGUGUGUGAGUGUAUGUGCAUGAAUGUGUGUUUGUGUGUUUGUGAAUGUUUGUGUGUGUUUGUGUAUGAGUGUGUUUGUGAAAGUGUGUGAGUGUGAAUGUGAGUGUGUGUGUGAGUGUGCACGAACGUGUGUUUGUGAAUAUGUGUGUAUGUGAGUGUGUGUGAAUGUGUGUGGGUGUGUGAAUGUGUGUGCAUGUGAGUGUGUGUGAGUGUGUGUUUGUGAAUGUGUGAAUGUGUGUGUAUGCGAGUGUGAAUGUGUGUGGGUGAGUGUGUGUGUUUGUGAAUUGUGUGUGUGUGUGAGUGUGUAUGUGAGUGUGUGAAUGUGUGUGGGUGUGUGAGUGUGUGAGUGUAUGUGAGUGUGUGUUUGUGAGUGUGUGGGUGAGUGUGUGUAUGUGAGUGUGAGCGUGUGUGUGUUUAGAGUCUGCACUCUGUGUGGAUCAGGAAAGGGGUCCUUGCAGGCUCGCUGAGUCCCUGCUCUGUGCCCAGCCCCGACUUU
rnacentral:lncRNA from 1 species